ensembl:lncRNA
ACUAAGUCACGGGGUGGGGCAAAACAUUAGCCCGUAGGAAGCAUCACGUCUAUUCUGCUGUGAAUUACAUCUCUGCUGCUAAAAUCUUAUCGAUUUCAGGUGAUUCAGGUGAUUGCAGAAAUGCCAUUUAACCAGCCAGCACAAAAGGUUUGGUUAAAUAUUUGUGUCUGAACUCCCAGGACCCAAAACACAACUCAGUUGACUCAGGACCAGGCCACUGACAUAACUGCUCUCCAGUCAUUUAGGGCGUACGACAGAUUGCUAUGUAUUGGCUCGGUCUCUGAAAGGGCAAGGAAGUUCAGGCCUUAUCACCUGUUGUGCGAUCUGUACGGUGACCUCAGCAGUAAAGCACUCUGUUGUUCCUGUUGCUGAUCAUCUUUGAAGAGAGCUUAGCUUUAAAUGAUAGUCAGGAUUAAAUGAGAAGAGGCCCUUCCCCAAGCCAGGCAGCGAAAGUCAGGAAUUGGGACAGUAAGUUGACAAGUGCAUGUGCUUUGCAAACAGCGCACAUCACAAAGACAGUUGUCAAUGGGCAAAUUCACCAACUGACAAUAUUAAAUCUCAGAAAAGUUCAGCAAUCGUUGAGUAGCAAAACCUUUGGCUACACUUUCAGAUCUCUGUUAACUACUACAAUACAGAAAAUAGAUGAAAUAUCAUAGAAUCGGUCAGGUUGGAAAAGACCUUAAAGAUCAUCGAGUGCAACCACGACCUAACCAUGCUACCUAACUCUAACAACCCUCCGCUAAAUCGUGUCCCUGAUCACCACAUCCAAUGCGACCUGCUAAAUGACUUACUCGGCCUUAUGGUUGACCUGAAUGAGGAGGUGGAGAGGCUGAGGAGCGUAAGGGAAUGUGAGAGGGAGAUUGCUUGGUGAUGCCAAACGCUAUCGGCCCCGAGAUCUUGGCAGUCAGCUGAGGCUCCACAUGGAGCGCGUCACCCCCUGCCGCCUUGCAAACAGGUGACAGAGGGGACCCAGCAGGCAGAUAGUGUUCCUGCUGCCGUGAACCCCCUGUCCUCUCCUCCCCCUAGGAACAGUGGUGAAGAAUCGAGGGAUGUGGUGCAGUGGCAAAAGUCCCCUGCUUGGCAAUGCAGGCGUGCCCUCCCAGAGAUCUCCCUGCCUCCCCAGCUGCCCCUGCGGAACAG